ensembl:lncRNA
GGAAACUCGCAAAAUGUUUUACACUGAAGAAGCACAGGAGAUGCAUACAAUAAAAAAAGAAAGCGUUCAUGUUUGCUAUUGAUGCUAAGGGGGACAAUGCUGCCUACACCCAGGUAAAAUUACAAGAUGUUUGGCUGUAGAAUUGCAACAUGUAGGUCAUUUCAUGCUUUAUUACACAAGGGUGUUGAUGGAAAUCUUCAUAUUGGAACAUGUUAGAUAAACCUGUUUAUUUCCAAUAAGAAAACCUCAACUUUAUUAAAAAAUGUUCUAGGUUUCAUAUGCACCCUUUUUUAUGAAAGCUGAGCUUCUGAGAGUUUAAUUAAUUUUAAAAUAAUUUUCCCUUUUAUAACCAAUUUCCUAAUUAAAAAAAUUGGUUUUGAAAUCCUUUUCCUAUUUUGAAGGAUGCUCAGGUACCUUCCAUGAUCAGACUCAGUUUAUUUAUAGAAUUGAAAUAGUCAAAUGAGUAUUCCCCUUGCAACAGUUCGUCUGAAAUUUUUGUCAGUCCUCUGCAUAAGAGAAGUGUGUAAACAUUUCCUUUGUGGUUUUGCCUCAUGGUUAUCCUUUCCAAGAACAAACUGUAAAUCAAGUUAAGUGUGGCUUCUGUAAAAUUUCUCUCCCUACUGCAAUAGUUAUCAUAAUCUGGGUUGGAAAUGACCUUGAAGAUCCUCUAGUUCCAACCCCCCUGCCAUGAUCUUCUACUAGACCAGGUUGCUCCAAGUGCUAUCCAGCCUGGCCUUCAACAUUUGAAUGGGGCAUCCCUAAUUUCACUGGGCAGCCUGUUCUAAUGCCUCACCACACCUACAUGCUUUUUAAAGUAGUCUCUGUCUAUCUUUUUUGUAGGCUCUCUUCAGGUACUGGAUCACCACAAUUAGGUUGCUAUGAAGGCUUUUUUUCCCUAGCUGAACAAACACAACUCUCUCAGCCUUUCCUCAUAGGAGAGGUGCUCUCAUGAAAAAGUUUCUUCUGAACAGAUUCAGCACCGUCUGAACAGUCAAGAAAUCUACAUUUGCUUGGCUCCUCUGCACUCUAACACCAAAAGUAACAAUUUUGCAAGUUUUCCACCAUUCCCUUCUGAAAACAGAAAGAAAAUUCAAGACCAAAAUUACUGUAUGCUUGAAGAUAGAUAUUGGCCAGACAGAAGGUGUUCUGUCGGCAGCCCCUUGUCCUGCCAAGGGAUGCCCGGGGGUGCCGCAGCAGCGGUGGCCAGCCCGAUGGCCACAGGUGGCAUGUUCUGGCUGGCAAAGCCUGCCCAGCGCUGCAGAGCGCGACAGGCAGCGCAGAGCGGACGCGUCCUGUGUAGGCUGCCGUGAUCACACCGUGGCUAGCGUUCUGCGCCGUGGCUGCAAAAACCUCUGCCAGUCACGGGCAGCAGGCACACAGCUGUCCUCUCGUCUGGGGCCGCCGUGCUGGAGACAGCGCCAGGGAGAUGACACCCACGCUGACCCUCACUGCGCAGAAAUGACUGCAGCAUCUGAUGCACAGAAAAAACUGGUCAGAGGAAACAGUAGCUGCACAAAAGACAGGCUCUUAUAGCUCAUCGCUACCAGACAAGGUGGCUGGCACCUUUUGCACCAUGAGCUUUUUGUAUCGUUUUGUGUGAUUUCAAGAAAAUCACACAGAUAUCGCUGUACUAAUGUUGUCUGGGACAAUAUUUUGUCUGAUUUCACAUUGUCAAUUCUUAAACAAGUGUCCUUGCAUUCUCCCAGCAAACAUUAAUUUAUUUCUAUGAUCUGUCCCCAGGGAUUAUUCACCACAAAGGAAAAUUCCAGAAGAGUUUUUCCAGAAAGAGCGGCAAAGGAGGCAUUAAAUGACAUGCAAUUUAUUUUCUGUGAGGCCUCAUAGUAUCUUUACUCCAACAAUUAUGCACUUAUGAGAUGAGUCAAUAGCAGCAAAUGGAAGACAUCUUAUCUAGGUAUAAAUUUGAUAAAAAAGAAGCAAGACACUGCUUGAAGUGCAGUGUCCUUUUUGUGGCGGGGGUGGGGGAGAGGAUGAGGCAGCCACGAGGAUUCUGCAACAAAGCAGAAAGAUGAUCUAAUAAGAUUCUCUGUUUAUCAAAGAAACAUUCACUCCUCCUGCCCAUACUGCCUGGUGAGUGUUUCUGUCUACUAAGGUGGGGCUGCUAGGGACUGGUUUUACAGUGCAGGAAUGGUGAGAUAGGGAAGCUGGCUGAAAGUCAAAAGGGAAGAAAUUUUAAAGAGAUAUUUCCAAGUUCCUGCUGUUGGCACUUUGUAUGCUGACUGAAUCAUGUGGAAACACGUUUCUAAUUUGUUAUUAAUACAAUAUGUUAAAAAAAAUUUAACAAAUUUAGAUUAUGUAACCAAUUGGAAUUUUAUACAUAGAUAGCUACACAUCUUGAUGACUGAAGUGAAAACUGCUCAUUUUGACCAAAUUAUUUCUUCAUACUGAAGCACAUGGCCUGAAUACGGGUAAAUGGAAGUAGCAGGUUAAAAAAGGAAGAAGAAACAAAUACUAACUUAUGACAAAUGGAUUUAUUUUUCUAAAAGUUGAAGGCAGAUUCUCAGAAGUUUUCCUUACUGAAGGUAGUGUAUGUCAGUGUAUGUCUUCUGAAGUCAACCAGACAGAGUAUUCACAACUCUUGGCAAACUUCCUUCAGGUGUUUGUCCAGACCUAAAUAAGGAAGCAAGACUACCUUGAGACUAUUAAGAUGGAAAAGGAUUGCUUUUAGAGCAGGGCUCACAUAAUUUGGAAGGCCUGCAGGGAAUAUUAAAUUCCAUUAAACCUAUCUAUCAGCAAACAAAAUUAAGAACAACCUUAUGGUGAAACAAAGCUGGUGAAUCAACUGCAAAUAUCUUUCUAGAAAUUAUAUUUUAGUUUUUCUGGAAGAUUUCAUGUUUCUUGUAUCAGGACUUCUAGAGUUCUUUUACAAUUGUUUUUCAAUUAAGCUCAGUUCUUAUGCAAAAAAACCAAAAAUGCAGCCUUCGAAACACGUUUCCAGUGAGAAUUUUCUAUGAUAUGCUAGUUUUUUAUUACUGUUGUUUUUGCAAAAUUAUUCAGAUUGCUUUCGCAAGUGUAACAGUAAAAUAACAAUUUAUACUGUAUUAUUUUUAUACAAAUGUAUAAAAACAUUUACCAUAGCUAUGUGGUAAAGUCUUAUUCUCUGACAAAUAAAGGUCAAAACAUCUUUUUGCCUUCA